GACGAACGCUGGCGGCGUGCUUAACACAUGCAAGUCAAGCGGUAAGGCCCUUUCGGGGGUACACGAGCGGCGAACGGGUGAGUAACACGUGGGUGACCUGCCCUCAGCUCUGGGAUAAGCCUGGGAAACUGGGUCUAAUACUGGAUAUGACUCCACGGUGCAUGUCGUGGGGUGGAAAGCCUUGUGCGGCUGAGGAUGGGCCCGCGGCCUAUCAGCUUGUUGGUGGGGUGANGGCCUACCAAGGCGACGACGGGUAGCCGGCCUGAGAGGGCGACCGGCCACACUGGGACUGAGACACGGCCCAGACUCCUACGGGAGGCAGCAGUGGGGAAUCUUGCGCAAUGGGCGAAAGCCUGACGCAGCGACGCCGCGUGAGGGAUGACGGCCUCGGUUGUAAC
rnacentral:rRNA from 1 species